rnacentral:rRNA from 1 species
AUUGAACGCUGGCGGCAUGCUUUACACAUGCAAGUCGAACGGUAACAGGCCGCAAGGUGCUGACGAGUGGCGAACGGGUGAGUAAUGCAUCGGAACGUGCCCAGUCGUGGGGGAUAACGCAGCGAAAGCUGUGCUAAUACCGCAUACGAUCCAUGGAUGGAAGCGGGGGACCGUAAGGCCUCGCGCGAUUGGAGCGGCCGAUGUCAGAUUAGGUAGUUGGUGGGGUAAAGGCCCACCAAGCCAACGAUCUGUAGCUGGUCUGAGAGGACGACCAGCGACACUGGGACUGAGACACGGCCCAGACUCCGACGGGAGGCAGCAGGGGGGAAUUUUGGACAAUGGGCGCAAGCCUGAUCCAGCAAUGCCGCGUGCAGGAAGAAGGCCUUCGGGUUGUAAACUGCUUUUGUACGGAACGAAACGGUCUGGGUUAAUACCUCGGGCUAAUGACGGUACCGUAAGAAUAAGCACCGGCUAACUACGUGCCAGCCGCCGCCGUAAUAC